GGCCCUUUAGCUCAGUGGUUAGAGCAGGCGACUCUUAAUCGCUUGGUCGUUGGUUCAAACCCAACAGGGGCCACCA
rnacentral:tRNA from 1 species